rnacentral:rRNA from 1 species
GACGUAGGGCGCGAGCGUUGUCCGGAUUUAUUGGGCGUAAAGAGCUCGUAGGCGGCUUGUCGCGUCGUCCGUGAAAACCCACAGCUCAACUGUGGGCUUGCGGUCGAUACGGGCAGGCUAGAGUUCGGUAGGGGAGACUGGAAUUCCUGGUGUAGCGGUGAAAUGCGCAGAUAUCAGGAGGAACACCGGUGGCGAAGGCGCACAUCUGGCCCGAUACUGACGCUGAGGCGCGAAAGCUAGGGGAGCAAACGGG